rnacentral:rRNA from 1 species
UAAUAUUAAAAAUUUGAAAAGCCUUUUAUUGAUUAAACUAAAGUUAAGAAUUAACUAAAAUUUAAAUUUUUAAAAAAUUUAACUAAAUAAAGACUAGAAAAAAUAUGUAAUUAAAAUAUAAGUGGAGAUAAUAAUCUUAUACCUUUUGUAUCAGGGUUAAUUAAAAAUUAAAAAGAAUUUAAUAUCUCGAAAUUUACUAAUAUAUAAAAAUUUAAUAUUAUUACCAUUUAAAAGGUCAGAUAAAUAAAUUUUUAGAUUUCAGAUGAAACCAAGUUUUAAAUAUCUAGUUAUUAAAUAAAUUAGUUUAAUUAAAUAUUGUUUCAUCUGAAUAAUUAUCUAAAUUAAAAGUUUAAACAAUUAAAGGCUUUAAAAGUUAAGUAUUAAAGUAAGAUAAAUUAAAAUACUAAAUAUUACCUAAAUAAAAUUGAUAAUUUUUAAUAUAAAAACAUAUAAAAAUUUAGAAACAUAACUUUAAAUUUUAAACAAAAUUAUUUUAAUAUUUAAUUAAAAUCAAACAUAAUCAAGUAGAAUAAAAUGAUUAAAUUAAUAUACAAUUCAAAUUUAGAUUAAUAAUUAAGCAAUUAAUCAGUUUCCAUCUGUUUAUCAAAAACAUAGUUUAAAGAAAAAAAUUUUAGAUAGAUUCUGCUCAGUGAUUAAAUUUUAAAUAGCUGCAGUAAAUUAACUGUACUAAGGUAGCGUAAUAAAUUGCUUUAUAAUUGAAAGCUUGAAUGAAAGAAAUAAUGUGAAAUAAACUUUUUAAAAUAAAAUAGUAUAAAUUAAUAUUUAAGUGAAAAAUCUUAAAUUAAAUCAAAAGACAAGAAGACCCUUUAGAACUUAACAGAUAAGUCUAGCUUUACUUGACCUACUUGUUAAGUUGGGGAGAUUUUUAAAUAAAUAAAUCUUUAAAUAUAAGUAAAAUGAUAUUAAUCAAGUUAAAUUAUCCAAAUAUGAAAUAAAACAAGUUACCUAAGGGAUAACAGCGCAAAAUUUUUGAAAAGUUCUCAUUUACAAAAUAUAUUGCGACCUCGAUGUUGGAUUAAGAAUAAUCUAUAAAGAAAAAUUUAUAGGAAUUGGUCUGUUCGCCCAAUUAACUCUUACAUGAUCUGAGUUCAGACCGGCGUAAGCCAGGUCAGUUUAUAUCUUUGAUAAUUUGAUUCUAGGCUACAGUACGAAAGGGAUCUAGAAAAGUAAAAUUUUUAUAUAAGAAA